GAUGCAGCGAUGCCGCGUGAAUGAUGAAGGCUUUCGAGUCGUAAAGUUCUGUUCUUAGGGAAGAUAGUGACGGUACCUAAGAAGAAAGCCCCGGCUAAAUACGUGCCAGCAGCCGCGGUAAUACGUAUGGGGCGAGCGUUAUCCGGAAUUAUUGGGCGUAAAGAGUUCGUAGGCGGUCCUUUAAGUCAGAAGUGAAAGGCAGUGGCUCAACCAUUGUAAGCUUUUGAAACUGGAGGACUUGAGUGUUGGAGAGGAAAGCGGAAUUCCUAGUGUAGCGGUGAAAUGCGUAGAUAUUAGGAGGAACACCAGUGGCGAAGGCGGCUUUCUGGACAAAUACUGACGCUGAGGAACGAAAGCGUGGGGAGCGAACAGGAUUAGAUACCCUGGUAGUCCACGCCGUAAACGAUGAGUGCUAGGUGUUGGGGUAGCGAUACUUCAGUGCCGCAGCUAACGCAUUAAGCACUCCGCCUGGGGAGUACGGUCGCAAGACUGAAACUCAAAGGAAUUGACGGGGGCCCGCACAAGCAGCGGAGCAUGUGGUUUAAUUCGAUGAUACGCGAGAAACCUUACCAGGGCUUGACAUAUAUUGGACGAAGCUAGAGAUAGUUUUUCCCUUCGGGGUCGAUAUACAGGUGCUGCAUGGCUGUCGUCAGCUCGUGCUGUGAAGUGUUGGGUUAAGUCCCGCAACGAGCGCAACCCU
rnacentral:rRNA from 1 species